rnacentral:rRNA from 1 species
UAAUACGGAGGGAGCGAACGUUGUUCGGAUUCACUGGGCGUAAAGGGUGUGUAGGCGGUCUUGCAAGUUUGAGGUGAAAUCUUCCGGCUCAACCGGGAAACUGCCUUGAAGACUGCAGGACUUGAGGGCGUGAGAGGAGACUGGAAUUCCUAGUGUAGCGGUGAAAUGCAUAGAUAUUAGGAGGAACACCAGUGGCGAAGGCGAGUCUCUGGCACGCAUCUGACGCUGAGACACGAAAGCCAGGGGAGCGAACGGGAUUAGAUACCCCGGUAGUCCUGGCUGUAAACGUUGGGUACUAAGUGUUGGCCGAUCGACCCGGUCAGUGCUGCAGCUAACGCGCUAAGUACCCCGCCUGGGGAGUACGGCCGCAAGGUUGAAACUUAAAUGAAUUGACGG